CCUACGGGAGGCAGCAGUGAGGAAUAUUGGUCAAUGGACGAGAGUCUGAACCAGCCAAGUAGCGUGAAGGAUGACUGCCCUAUGGGUUGUAAACUUCUUUUAUAUGGGAAUAAAAUGUUCCACGUGUGGGAUUUUGUAUGUACCAUAUGAAUAAGGAUCGGCUAACUCCGUGCCAGCAGCCGCGGUAAUACGGAGGGUCCGAGCGUUAUCCGGAUUUUAUGGGGUUAAAGGGAGCGUAGGUGGAUUCUUAAGUCAGUUGUGAAAGUUUGCGGCUCAACCGUAAAGUUGCAGUUGAAACUGGCGGUCUUGAGUACAGUAGAGGUGGGCGGAAUGCGUGGUGUAGCGGUGAAAUGCUUAGAUAUCACGAAGAACUCCGGUUGCGAAGGCAGUUCACUGGACUGCAACUGACACUGAGGCUCGAAAGUGUGGGUAUCAAACAGGAUUAGAUACCCCGGUAGUC
rnacentral:rRNA from 1 species